rnacentral:tRNA from 1 species
GGGCGGGUGGCGUAAUGGUAGCCGCGCCAGUUUUAGGAACUGGUUCCGUAAGGAGUGGAGGUUCGAGUCCUCUCCCGCCCACCA